ensembl:lncRNA
GUGUCUCUUUAAAAGUGUUUGUAAUGUGUUGUGUUAGAAUAUUAGGUGCCACUUAGUCUGCAUAUGUACAAGAGCAUGUUUAGACCAGAAGAGAUAAGAAGGGUCGAACUGUGCUUCUUCCAACCUUGCAAAACUUCCAUCCUUGCCUCGGACGUGAGAAAUCCACCACGUGGUUUUCCCUGCUGAAUGCUCAACUUCUGUCUAUAUAAACCUUGUGCGAUGUGUUUAUCAUUGCUUCACUUUCAGCCUUGUGCUGGGAGUGAGCCCGAUUGCAAUUGUUGUUUGUCUAAUAAAUAUACUUAUAUGCAGCUCCGGAGUCCUGAGGUAACUAGGGUGAAUUUUCACCUAUCAUAUUUGGGGGCUCGUGACCGGGAUUCCAACAACCUCAACGGCUCUCCACGCUGGGCUAAUCAUCAGGACCUAAACCAUACGGAGGAGUACGAGACUCUGUUUUUCUAAAGACCUCCAAAUUGAUUUGGAAGGAGGCCAGGGCCUGCCAGCGGGGAGAGCCGAGAGUGAAGGAAAAUAAUUGGACUGUAGGGUGUGGACUCCGAGCUGUUUGUGAGUAUAUUGUUUGUUUGUUGUAAGUGCACGGUAGUAUAUUGUUGGUUUAUUGUUUGUUUCGGUUUUGUGUACACGUGUCUUCGAGUGGGGCUGUGUUGCCUGUUCUCCGCGGGGUAGAGAAGGAAUUCUUUAAGGUUACAAACUUGUUAGAGAUAUUCCUGCUUGCCUCGUGUGUUGAACGAAUUUGCUAGCUGUGUUAAAAGGUUGUAAAUGAGAGAUAAACCUGCGUGGUAGGGGGUCCUCCGCAAACUCUUCGGUUGUAAAUGAGAGAUAAACCUGCGUGGUAGGGGGUCCUCCGCAAACUCUUCGGUUUAAAUGAGAGAUAUAUCCCCUUGGCCACUGGAAGCCUGUACAAACUCUUCGGGGUAAAUGAGAGAUAUAUCCCCUUGGCCACUGGAAGCCUGUACAAACUCUCUAGACCUAUUUCUAGACGACUCCGGAG